GCCGGGCUGGCGGAAUGGCAUACGCAGGCGACUUAAAAUCGCCGGCUGGCAACAGCGUGUGGGUUCGAGUCCCACGCCCGGCA
rnacentral:tRNA from 1 species